rnacentral:rRNA from 1 species
UACGUAGGGGGCAAGCGUUGUCCGGAUUUAUUGGGCGUAAAGAGCGUGUAGGCGGCCAGGUAGGUCAGCUGUGAAAACUCGAGGCUUAACCUCGAGACGCCGGCUGAAACCCUCUGGCUAGAGUCCGGAAGAGGAGAGCGGAAUUCCUGGUGUAGCGGUGAAAUGCGCAGAUAUCAGGAAGGACACCCGUGGCGAAGGCGGCUCUCUGGGACGGUACUGACGCUGAGACGCGAAAGCGUGGGGAGCGAACAGG